AGCAGCAUGGCUCAGUGGAAAGAGCACGGGCUUGGGAGUCAGAGGUCAUGGGUUCUAAUCCCAGCUCUGCUG
rnacentral:tRNA from 1 species